CAGCAAAAAAAAGCAGUUCCCAAAUACAUCAAAUGUUAAAUGAGUCACAUAAUCGCUUCCCUGUCCAAAUUUGGAAGGAAGCACAGCACAAAGCUCUAGAAAUUAGUUACAUGAGCUUUCAAGCUUCUCUAGAUACUGAGAUAUCUUUGGGGUUGGCUUGGAAGUUUUUUUGUCAUUAUCUCCCUUGAAGUAGAUUUCUAGAUCAGUUGAAUUUCUCCUUCUGGAAGCAAUACCCCAACCCAUGAAAUCCGAGAGAGUCGGAGUGUCUGCAGCACUCUUCGCGAUUGCGUCUUCAUCAGAGGGGCUAGAGGACCCCUCAGAUCUUGCCGGUGAUGAUAUUUGAGUAAGGCUAUCAGCAUGAAGGACAUCCUCGAUUCUCGACAUGACAUUGAACGCCAAGCUCUCUAGAAUCCUUGAAUAGCUCUCCAGGAUAGCGUGGCCUACAUCCUGUGAAAUUGAAUACCAAGUUAGUUUAUCAACCUUGAAUACAUUUCGGAAUAGAUAAAAGUGAAACCGAAAUUCUUUGCUUGCUUUACCCUGUUAUAUUGGAUCUUAGAUAUAUCAAGUGCAGAUUGUGGAAGUCCAGGGAAACGCUGCUUUAACAUGAUUAAUAUAGUCUCGGCCCUCUCUUCAAAGAGUUCCCUCUUUUCCAAGCUGACACCCGAACCCCAAGAAGAUCUUCCAUCUUUAUGAUGCAACUUCCUCAUCCAAAUGAUAAUGGAGGCCUCAAUCCUAUUCUUAAGGUCUAAAACUUUGUGCUCUGUUGACAUAUCCAUGGUUGCAAGGAAUUGCGAUGGAUCAAAGUACUCCACUGUAAUGCCUUUAUAGAUUGAAUCGCCGAGGCUUGAUUUUCCGUUCUACAUAGACAUGAUGGAGAAGAACUAUAAAGAUAACUGAAAAAAUUAUAAAAACUUUUGUAAUCAGUUGAUGAGGAUUUUUUAUUUCUUUACCCUGGGGAGGGAAUCGAUGUAGCUUUCGGGAACCUCCAUUUCAGAUAGGACUUCAGCGUUGAUGGCCAUAGCUGCUUUUAGCACCUGAUUCACCGAUUCCUUUUGAGACUGCAGCCACCUUCGUGAUGCUUCCGAUAACCCGUUUUCAGGUACCUUAACAGUCGGAUGCCACCAUUUGUCAUCCCUAUGCCCGUUUUCAUUCUCUUGAUCUUCAUUUUUGGACACGUACCAAAAUUCUUGUUCUUCUCCAAAGCUGUCAAGAGUCUCCUGUUUUCAUUAUAAAUUUGAUCAAUCUUUGAUUUACUAUGAAAUGAUCUUUUGCAGGUUAAAAACUAGAAGGAGAAAGUUACUCACAAUAAGCAUGGUGUCGAGUUUGCAUAGGCCAGGUUAUAAUCGAUAUCAUCCGUGUGAUCAUUAGCACACGUGAUCGAAUUUUGCGGCUGCUGGUGCCUCCCUGGACUGUCGAGCAUUCUCAUAAUGCGGAAAGAUCCCGAGUUGUGAGUGCUGUACCGACGAGUCAAUGCGCGAACCAUUGUUCAAUCGUCAAGUAAGCUUCUUUUCUCUCUGUGUUUCUUCUUCUUUGUUUUAUUUUUUUGGCAGGGAAAAAUUGAAGAAGAAACAAAUCCGAAAAGGACUAUAAAUAAGGAACGAAACUAUCCUUGUUCGGUUUGUUAGUGCAGGGGAAACUACUCCAUGGAAAUGAGAGGCUGGCAAUUGAAACCAACAGGAUGUAUUAGUUGUCUGCUGUACUGAAGAGAUAAAGCUUUCGAGUGGUUAA